UACGUAGGGAGCGAGCGUUAUCCGGAUUUAUUGGGUGUAAAGGGUGCGUAGACGGGACAUUAAGUUAGUUGUGAAAUCCCUCGGCUUAACUGAGGAACUGCAACUAAAACUGAUAUUCUUGAGUACUGGAGAGGAAAGCGGAAUUCCUAGUGUAGCGGUGAAAUGCGUAGAUAUUAGGAGGAACACCAGUGGCUAAGGCGGCUUUCUGGACAGAAACUGACGUUGAAGCACGAAAGUGUGGGGAGCAAAC
rnacentral:rRNA from 1 species